rnacentral:rRNA from 1 species
AAUGCAGUGCCCGAACAGGGCGUUGUAAUUGGAAUGAGAACAAUUUAAAUCCCUUAUCGAUUAACAAUUAGAGGGCAAGUCUGGUGCCAGCAGCCGCGGUAAUUCCAGCUCUAAUAGCGUAUAUUAAAGUUGUUGCAGUUAAAAAGCUCGUAGUUGGAUUUCGGCGUGCGCUCAGGCUGGUCGGCCGUCAAGGUCUGUACCGUUUGGGUCACGCCCCACUGUAGGAUACUCACCGCUGUCCUUAACUGGGUGGCGGUCAAAGGGGGUGUGCAUGGGGGCAACUCUGUGCAUAUCUCUGGGGUUCCUACUCUUUUACUUUGAGCAAAUUAGAGUGUUCAAAGCAGGCAAUCGAGCCUUGAAUACUUCAGCAUGGGAUAAUGGAACAGGACUGGGGUCCUGAUUUCGUUGGUUUCUGGGAUCUCAGUAAUGAUUAAUAGGGAUAGUUGGGGGCAUUAGUAUUUAAUUGUCAGAGGUGAAAUUCUUGGAUUUAUGAAAGACUAACUUCUGCGAAAGCAUUUGCCAAGGAUGUUUUCAUUAAUCAAGAACGAAAGUUAGGGGAUCGAAGACGAUCAGAUACCGUCGUAGUCUUAACCAUAAACGAUGCCGACCAGCGAUUGGGAGACGUUACAUGGAUGACUCCCCCAGCAGCUUGCGAGAAAUCACAAGUCUUUGGGUUCCGGGGGGAGUAUGGUCGCAAGGCUGAAACUUAAAGGAAUUGACGGAAGGGCACCACCAGGAGUGGAGCCUGCGGCUUAAUUUGACCCAACACGGGGAAACUUACCAGGUCCAGACAUAGUAAGGAUUGACAGAUUUGAGAGCUCUUUCUUGAUACUAUGGGCGGUGGUGCAUGGCCGUUCUUAGUUGGUGGAGUGAUUUGUCUGGUUAAUUCCGUUAACGAACGAGACCUUAACCUGCUAAAUAUGUCACUGGUAGACUUCUGCCAAAACAGGUGGGUGUCUAGGGGAAAGUUUCGAUGGACUCCGACGCAUUCAUCUGUGGAUGACUACCAGGAUGUACUUCUUAGAGGGACUAUCUGUAUCAAAGCAGAUGGAAGUUUGAGGCAAUAACAGGUCUGUGAUGCCCUUAGAUGUUCUGGGCCGCACGCGCGCUACACUGACAAGUUCAACGAGUUUAACACCUUGCUCGAUAGGGCUGAGUAAUCUUUGAAAAACUUGUCGUGAUGGGGAUAGAUCAUUGUAAUUAUUGGUCUUCAACGAGGAAUUCCUAGUAAGCGUGAGUCAUCAGCUCGCGUUGAUUACGUCCCUGCCCUUUGUACACACCGCCCGUCGCUCCUACCGAUUGAAUGAUCCGGUGAAAUGUUGGGAGCUGGGGUCUUUUGGCGGCGGGGCAACUCGUCGUCAGGGAUUCUGCAAACUUCAUUAAACCUUAUCAUUUAGA